rnacentral:rRNA from 1 species
GUCCACGCCGUAAACGAUGGACACUAGGUGUGGGGGGUAUUGACCCCCUCCGUGCCGAAGCAAACGCGAUAAGUGUCCCGCCUGGGGAGUACGGCCGCAAGGCUAAAACUCAAAGGAAUUGACGGGGGCCCGCACAAGCAGCGGAGCGUGUGGUUUAAUUCGACGCAACGCGAAGAACCUUACCAAGGCUUGACAUGCUGGUAGUACCGAUCCGAAAGGUGAGGGACCCUUCGGGGAGCCAGUGCAGGUGAUGCAUGGCUGUCGU